UACGUAGGGUGCGAGCGUUGUCCGGAAUUAUUGGGCGUAAAGCGCUUGUAGGCGGUUUGUCGCGUCUGCCGUGAAAAUCCGGGGCUCAACCCCGGACUUGCGGUGGGUACGGGCAGACUAGAGUGUGGGAGGGGAGACUGGAAUUCCUGGUGUAGCGGUGAAAUGCGCAGAUAUCAGGAGGAACACCGAUGGCGAAGGCAGGUCUCUGGGCCACUACUGACGCUGAGAAGCGAAAGCGUGGGGAGCGAACAGG
rnacentral:rRNA from 1 species